GGCGCCUCGUGUCUCAGUCUUCCGGCGACAUGCAGCGAGUGAGCGUGCUGAGUUUUGCGUUGCUGGGGGCCCUGCUGGCCGUGGGCUGCCGCGCCAAGGAGUCAGACCUCAAAGUGGAGAAACUGUUCGUGCCCGAUGAGUGCACCGAGAAGUCCAAGACGGGCGACAUGCUCACCAUGCACUACCGUGGCACGCUGGACGACGGCAAGCAGUUCGACUCCAGCCAUGACCGGGACCAGCCAUUCUCGUUCCAGCUGGGCGUGGGGCAGGUGAUCAAGGGCUGGGACCAGGGCCUGGUGGACAUGUGUGUCGGUGAGCGCCGCCGCCUCGUUAUCCCGCCUGAGCUGGCGUACGGCGACCGUGGGGCGGGUGCAGUCAUCCCAGGAGGUGCAACACUGACAUUUGAAGUGGAGCUUCUGAGCAUUGGCGAUUCACCACCGCCAGUGAAUGUUUUCAAAGAAAUUGAUGCAGACAAGGACCAGAAUCUUUCAAGGGAUGAAGGGCAGCAGAACAAUGCUGAUGCAGGUCAUGCUGUGAAUAUCUUCAGGGAAAUAGAUGCUGAUAAAGACGACAAUCUUUCAAAAGAUGAGGUCAGUGAAUACCUGAAGAAACAAAUGGUAGCAGCUGAAGAAGGAGGAGACAGUGAAGAAGUGAAACGUAUGCUGGAGGACCAUGACAAACUUGUUGAUGAAAUAUUCCAACACGAAGACAAGGACAAAAAUGGCCUCAUAUCUCAUGAUGAGUUCUCUGGUCCAAAACAUGAUGAACUGUAACACUUUGUGAAUACCAACUGUGUGCAAAUAUGCAUUUACUGAAAAAGACUACUGUGUGUGUGUGUGUGUGUGUGUGUGUGUGUGUGUGUGUGUGUGUGUGUGUGUGUGUGUGUGUGUGUG
rnacentral:misc_RNA from 1 species